CGUGCUUAACACAUGCAAGUCGAACGGAAAGGCCCUGCUUUUGUGGGGUGCUCGAGUGGCGAACGGGUGAGUAACACGUGAGUAACCUGCCCUUGACUUUGGGAUAACUUCAGGAAACUGGGGCUAAUACCGGAUAGGAGCUCCUGCUGCAUGGUGGGGGUUGGAAAGUUUCGGCGGUUGGGGAUGGACUCGCGGCUUAUCAGCUUGUUGGUGGGGUAGUGGCUUACCAAGGCUUUGACGGGUAGCCGGCCUGAAAGGGUGACCGGCCACAUUGGGACUGAGAUACGGCCCAGACUCCUACGGGAGGCAGCAGUGGGGAAUAUUGCACAAUGGGCGGAAGCCUGAUGCAGCAACGCCGCGUGCGGGAUGACGGCCUUCGGGUUGUAAACCGCUUUCGCCUGUGACGAAGCGUGAGUGACGGUAAUGGGUAAAGAAGCACCGGCUAACUACGUGCCAGCAGCCGCGGUGAUACGUAGGGUGCGAGCGUUGUCCGGAUUUAUUGGGCGUAAAGGGCUCGUAGGUGGUUGAUCGCGUCGGAAGUGUAAUCUUGGGGCUUAACCCUGAGCGUGCUUUCGAUACGGGUUGACUUGAGGAAGGUAGGGGAGAAUGGAAUUCCUGGUGGAGCGGUGGAAUGCGCAGAUAUCAGGAGGAACACCAGUGGCGAAGGCGGUUCUCUGGGCCUUUCCUGACGCUGAGGAGCGAAAGCGUGGGGAGCGAACAGGCUUAGAUACCCUGGUAGUCCACGCUGUAAACGGUGGGUACUAGGUGUGGGGUCCAUUCCACGGGUUCCGUGCCGUAGCUAACGCUUUAAGUACCCCGCCUGGGGAGUACGGCCGCAAGGCUAAAACUCAAAGGAAUUGACGGGGCCCCGCACAAGCGGCGGAGCAUGCGGAUUAAUUCGAUGCAACGCGUAGAACCUUACCUGGGUUUGACAUGGAUCGGGAGUGCUCAGAGAUGGGUGUGCCUCUUUUGGGGUCGGUUCACAGGUGGUGCAUGGCUGUCGUCAGCUCGUGUCGUGAGAUGUUGGGUUAAGUCCCGCAACGAGCGCAACCCUUGUUCACUGUUGCCAGCACGUUAUGGUGGGGACUCAGUGGAGACCGCCGGGGUCAACUUGGAGGAAGGUGGGGAUGACGUCAAGUCAUCAUGCCCCUUAUGUCCAGGGCUUCACGCAUGCUACAAUGGCUGGUACAGAGAGUGGCGAGCCUGUGAGGGUGAGCGAAUCUCGGAAAGCCGGUCUCAGUUCGGAUUGGGGUCUGCAACUCGACCUCAUGAAGUCGGAGUCGCUAGUAAUCGCAGAUCAGCAACGCUGCGGUGAAUACGUUCCCGGGGCUUGUACACACCGCCCGUCAAGUCAUGAAAGUUGGUAACACCCGAAGCCGGUGGCCUAACCGUUGUGGGGGAGCCGUCGAAGGUGGGACUGGUGAUUAGGACUAAAU
rnacentral:rRNA from 1 species